rnacentral:tRNA from 1 species
GGGCUCAUAGUUUAGCGGUAAAACAGGUGAAUGGCAUUCACCAGUCCGUGGUUCGACUCCACGUGGGUCCA